rnacentral:ncRNA from 1 species
AAAGCUACCCCGGGGAUAACAGGCUUAUCUCCCCCAAGAGUCCACAUCGACGGGGAGGUUUGGCACCUCGAUGUCGGCUCAUCGCAUCCUGGGGCUGUAGUCGGUCCCAAGGGUUGGGCUGUUCGCCCAUUAAAGCGGUACGCGAGCUGGGUUCAGAACGUCGUGAGACAGUUCGGUCCCUAUCCGUCGUGGGCGCAGGAAAUUUGAGAGGAGCUGUCCUUAGUACGAGAGGACCGGGAUGGACGCACCGCUGGUGUACCAGUUGUCUUGCCAAAGGCAUAGCUGGGUAGCUAUGUGCGGAAGGGAUAAGUGCUGAAAGCAUCUAAGCAUGAAGCCCCCCUCAAGAUGAGAUUUCCCUGUUACUUUGUAACGUAAGAUCCCUGAAAGAUGAUCAGGUUGAUAGGUCAGAGGUGGAAGCGCGGUGACGUGUGGAGCUGACUGAUACUAAUCGAUCGAGGACUUAACCUA